CGACGACACGUUCAGCGUCACCGCGACCGCCCUGGCUGUCACCACCACCUCUCCUGGUUGCGUUGGCUUCCCAACCACCUUGGGUGUCAUGGCCACCUCUCCCGGUUGUAUCGUCACCAUGACCACUGUGGGUGUCACCACCACCUCCCCGGGUUGUGUUGUCACCGCUUUGGGUGUCACGGCCACCAUCUCGGGUGUCACCACCACCUCCCUGGGUUGUGUUGUCUUCCCAACCACCACAGGUGUCACGGCCACCUCUCCUGGUUGUGUUGUCACCGCUUUGGGUGUCACGGCCACCAUCUUGGGUGUCACGGCCACCUCUCCCGCCUGUGUUGUCACCUCAACCUCCCCAGGUUGCGUUGUCACCGUCUCCGCCGGCGCGCUGUAAACCUGAACGCUGACCACUGCCAACAACACCAGGAGGAGCCGCGUGGCCAGGCUGACUUCUUCCGUUGGGGGCCCCCACAGACAUCCCCCGGAGCCGCCGUUGCUGUUGCCGCCAUAAUAACCGCUUCGCGGCUUCGAAACAAAAUGGCGGCAGCGCCUCAGAGCGGUCCUUCUAUAGCGGGAGGCGGCGGGCCCGCCCACCGCGGCUUGCUAUUGGCUGAGGGUGUAGCGAGUGGGUGGGCGCGGCGUCUUCCUAUUGGCUGAGCGCGGGGCGAGGGGGUGUAACCUUGUGUGUGGAGGGGCGGGCCUGAGCGCGGUGUGGGCGUGGCUUAUUCGGGUGAGGGGCGUGGCCUGGUGGGGGAUUUUCCACUCCUUAUAGGGGCCUCUGGGGAACAUAAGGGGGCUAUGAGGGGCUAUAGGGGCUCUAUAAGGGGCUAUGGGGAGAGAUAGGGGGGCUACAGGGGGCUUAUAAGGGGCUAUGAGGUGAUAUGGGGGCUGUAGAGGCUCUAUAAGGGGCUAUGGGGAGAUAUAGGGGGCUAUAGGGCCUCUAUAUGGGGCUAUGGGGACAUACAGGGAGCUAUGGGGAGAUGUAGGGGACUAUAGGGGGUCUAUAAGGGGUCUAUAGGAGCUCUAUGGGGAAUCUAUAGGAUUCGAUAAGGGGUCUUUUCCAGCCUAUAGGGGGACCUCCAGGGUUCUAUGAGGGGUCUGUAGGGGUUGUUUAGGGUCCAUGGGGGUCUAUAGGGUUCUAUGAGGGGUCUGUAGGGGACAUAUAGGGGUCCAUGGGGGUCUAUAGGGUUCUAUGAGGGGUCUGUAGGGGUUGUUUAGGGGUCCAUGGGGGUCUAUGGGGUUCUACGAGGGGUCUGUAGGGGUUGUUUAGGGGUCCAUGGGGGUCUAUGGGGUUCUACAAGGGGUCUGUAGGGGUUGUUUAGGGGUCCAUGAUG
rnacentral:lncRNA from 1 species